UGGCAAAGGAAAGAAACCAGCAGGGGA
rnacentral:piRNA from 1 species